CAGGCCACAACCGUCUUCCCUGACACCUCUGUCCCAAGGUCUUCCAAUUCCCCCAGGUCGAGCCAAAUGAAGCAGCUCAGCGCUGUCUUGCAAACAAUCGCGUCUCCCGCGGGAACUCUUGUAGAGAAACAGUCUGGCACAACUUCAUCCUGCUAUAUUGCAGAGGCCUCUUCUUGGGGACAAAAAAUAAGAAGAGUCUCUUUCUUUUCAGGGACUUGCAAGAGCUGGCGUAGCUGUCAUCGUGGGCUGAGCUGACGAGCUGUCUCCUGACCCUGACAAGCUUCCUGAGGGUGAAAGAGACCACUUUCCUGCCUCCAGGUGUCUGAAGUGUAAUCUUAGAAAAUACAGAUGGAUGACAUCAUUACAGUGCCACUGAACCAGGACACAAACAGCAACAUCAGUGUAAACACCUGGAGUGCCACGCCAUCAGGAAAGGGAUGCCAGCUGUGAAGGCUGCACUUCCUAAGCGGGGCUGUGUAAACACGAGCUGUGCAGAGAGGUGGCAGGUCCUCUACUCCGGGGAUGCGGGACCACUUGGGUCUGCUGUGACACGUGUGAUAUUGCAGGAACCCUUUCAGGGGCUCAAACCUCCCGCUUUUACUUCAAGAUUUUCAGCAUUCAGCACAACACAGGUAAUAGCUCAGCUCUGAGAAUUACACAUUUUCUGGCCCUGGCUGGCCCCAGCUCUUUGCAGACGUUGGACCUGGAGUCGCAUCGCUGGGUGCUUCGCCUUCCUGCRGCCGCUCUGGGCCAUCCCGGGGCUGCGGCAGCUCCCAGGAGCAGGAUCCGGGAAGCCGCCGAGCGCCAGCCACGGGACGAGCUGCCCCGGCCCCGGGGA
rnacentral:lncRNA from 1 species